AUGAAGGACCUUGGAGAAGCUGCUUACAUAUUAGGCAUCAAGAUCUAUAGGGAUAGAUCGAGAUGCCUCAUAGGUCUUUCACAAAGCACAUACCUUGAUAAGAUUUUGAAGAAGUUCAAAAUGGAUCAGUCCAAGAAAGGGUUCUUGCCUAUAUUGCAAGGUGUGAGAUUGAGCUCGGCUCAAUGCCCGACCACGACAGAAGAUAAAGAAGAUAUGAGUGUCAUCCCCUAUGCCUCAGCCAUAGGAUCUAUUAUGUAUGCCAUGCUGUGUACCAGACCAGAUGUAAACCUUGCCGUAAGUUUGGUAGGUAGGUACCAAAGUAAUCCCGGCAAGGAACACUGGACAACGGUCAAGAAUAUCCUAAAGUACCUAAAAAGGACAAAGGACAUGUUUCUCAUUUAUGGAGGUGACGAAGAGCUCGUCGUAAAGGGUUACGUCGACUAG
rnacentral:rRNA from 1 species